rnacentral:rRNA from 1 species
GACGUAGGGGGCAAGCGUUGUUCGGAAUUAUUGGGCGUAAAGCGCUCGUAGGCGGGACAGGAAGUUCGUGUUGAAAGACCUCGGCUCAACUGAGGGACCGGCUCGAAUACUCUUGUUCUUGAGGCAAUCAGAGGUGAUGGAAUUCCCGGUGUAGCGGUGAAAUGCGUAGAUAUCGGGAAGAACACCAAAGGCGAAAGCGCUCUGCUGGGCCGAAACUGACACUGAGAGACGAAAGCUAGGGGAGCGAAUGGG